AUGCGACCUCAACUCAGGCAGUGCUACCCGCCGAGUUUAAGCAAAUCAAUAAGCAGAGGAAAAGAAACUAAAAAGGAUUCCCCUA
rnacentral:rRNA from 1 species